CCUACGGGGGGCAGCAGUGGGGAAUAUUGGACAAUGGGGGGAACCCUGAUCUAGCCAUGCCGCGUGUGUGAAGAAGGCCCUCGGGUUGUAAAGCACUUUCAGUGAGGAAGAACGCCUGGUGGUUAAUACCCAUCAGGAAAGACAUCACUCACAGAAGAAGCACCGGCUAACUCCGUGCCAGCAGCCGCGGUAAUACGGAGGGUGCGAGCGUUAAUCGGAAUUACUGGGCGUAAAGCGCGCGUAGGUGGCUUGAUAAGCCGGUUGUGAAAGCCCCGGGCUCAACCUGGGAACGGCAUCCGGAACUGUCAAGCUAGAGUGCAGGAGAGGAAGGUAGAAUUCCCGGUGUAGCGGUGAAAUGCGUAGAGAUCGGGAGGAAUACCAGUGGCGAAGGCGGCCUUCUGGACUGACACUGACACUGAGGUGCGAAAGCGUGGGUAGCAAACAGGAUUAGAUACCCGUGUAGUC
rnacentral:rRNA from 1 species